GGUGGCUCAGUGAUAGAGUGCUUGCCUUGCAUGCAUGAGACCCUGGGUUCGAUUCCUCAGCACCA
rfam:Dipodomys ordii contig_56030, whole genome shotgun sequence.